rnacentral:lncRNA from 1 species
CUGUCACAACCGUGAGACUGCUCUAAAUGAAGGCUGAGUUUGAAGAUGGGUGGGGUCCGAGCCUUUCUCCUGCUGUCAGAAAACACACCGUCGUCUCCACCAGCGUAAAGUCAGACACAACAGGACUCUACUGUUUCCUCUGGAACCUUUCAGAAUAAAAUUUCCUUCUGAUGUCCACCAGAGGGCGCCAUGAUGUCACUCACCAGCACAGAGAUGAAAACAAACUGGGGACUUUGGGUCUGCUGCUUGGUCCCGGCGUCUCGUCUCGGGGCAGUGGCUGGAAGGAGUAGACGAGGUCACACUGAAACACAGAUCACAUCUCUAACAAACAUUUCUACGGUAACACAUGUCCGCAGUAGAGGUGUUGAAA